rnacentral:rRNA from 1 species
UAACGCGUGAGAAUCUGGCUUCAGGUCGGGGACAACCACUGGAAACGGUGGCUAAUACCGGAUAUGCCGAGAGGUGAAAGGCUUGCUGCCUGAAGAUGAGCUCGCGUCUGAUUAGCUAGUAGGUGUGGUAAAGGCGCACCUAGGCGACGAUCAGUAGCUGGUCUGAGAGGAUGAUCAGCCACACUGGGACUGAGACACGGCCCAGACUCCUACGGGAGGCAGCAGUGGGGAAUUUUCCGCAAUGGGCGAAAGCCUGACGGAGCAAUACCGCGUGAGGGAGGAAGGCUCUUGGGUUGUAAACCUCUUUUCUCAGGGAAGAAAAAAAUGACGGUACCUGAGGAAUAAGCAUCGGCUAACUCCGUGCCAGCAGCCGCGGUAAUACGGAGGAUGCAAGCGUUAUCCGGAAUGAUUGGGCGUAAAGGGUCCGCAGGUGGCUAUGUAAGUCUGCUGUUAAAGAACUUAGCUUAACUAGGUAAAAUGCAGUGGAAACUACAAGGUCUAGAGUGCGUUCGGGGUAGAGGGAAUUCCUGGUGUAGCGGUGAAAUGCGUAGAUAUCAGGAAGAACACCAGUGGCGAAGGCGCUCUACUAGGCCGCAAACUGACAC